AUUGAACGCUGGCGGAAUGCUUUACACAUGCAAGUCGAACGGCAGCACGGACUUCGGUCUGGUGGCGAGUGGCGAACGGGUGAGUAAUGUAUCGGAACGUGCCCAGUCGUGGGGGAUAACGUAGUGAGAAUUACGCUAAUACCGCAUACGAUCUAUGGAUGAAAGCGGGGGAUCGCAAGACCUCGCGCGAUUGGAGCGGCCGAUAUCAGAUUAGGUAGUUGGUGGGGUAAAGGCCCCCCAAGCCAACGAUCUGUAGCUGGUCUGAGAGGACGACCAGCCACACUGGAACUGGGACACGGUCCAGACUCCUACGGGAGGCAGCAGUGGGGAAUUUUGGACAAUGGGCGAAAGCCUGAUCCAGCCAUUCCGCGUGCAGGAUGAAGGCCCUCGGGUUGUAAACUGCUUUUGUACAGAACGAAAAGGUUUCUACUAAUACUAGGAGCUCAUGACGGUACUGUAAGAAUAAGCACCGGCUAACUACGUGCCAGCAGCCGCCGUAA
rnacentral:rRNA from 1 species